UGUCAAGUCAGCAUGGCCCUUAUNUCCGGGGCUACACACGUGCUACAAUGGCCGGUACAAAGAGAAGCAAUACCGCGAGGUGGAGCAAAUCUGGUAAAACCGGUCCCAGUUCGGAUUGGAGUCUGCAAUUCGACUCCAUGAAGUUGGAAUCGCUAGUAAUCGCGGAUCAGCACGCCGCGGUGAAUACGUUCUCGGGGAUU
rnacentral:rRNA from 1 species